AACGAACGCUGGCGGCAGGCUUAACACAUGCAAGUCAAGCGCCCCGCAAGGGGAGCGGCAGACGGGUGAGUAACGCGUGGGAAUCUACCCAUCUCUACGGAAUAACGCAUGGAAACGGGUGCUAAUACCGUAUACGUCCUUCGGGAGAAAGAUUUAUCGGAGAUGGAUGAGCCCGCGUUGGAUUAGCUAGUUGGUGGGGUAAAGGCCUACCAAGGCGACGAUCCAUAGCUGGUCUGAGAGGAUGAUCAGCCACACUGGGACUGAGACACGGCCCAGACUCCUACGGGAGGCAGCAGUGGGGAAUAUUGGACAAUGGGCGCAAGCCUGAUCCAGCCAUGCCGCGUGAGUGAUGAAGGCCUUAGGGUUGUAAAGCUCUUUCACCGGAGAAGAUAAUGACGGUAUCCGGAGAAGAAGCCCCGGCUAACUUCGUGCCAGCCGCCGCUGUAAUAC
rnacentral:rRNA from 1 species